GAGUGCAAAUUCCUGCCUGAAGUGUGUGCUGCUUAAUCUUUAAACGACGCCCAUAAAAUGCGAGAACUGUCUGGGAAAUAAGCUUAAAGAAUAAUCGUUUUCAUUUGCACUGGAGUUAAGACGCGCUCGUGCGCUCUAGGGGUUCAAAAGAGUGGCUGCCGUGACGUCACUUUUGCGGGAAAAACACGCGUGUAUUCCUGCAUAACAGCAGAGGGCGAAAGAGAGCCGCAUUGCAGGUGUGGCCAUCCAACAAAAGUCACUCCAAGAGCACGAUGUAUUCCAGAAGGUUGCAAAGAACCCCAGAGUAAUCUCAGAAUCUGCAUUGGCUAAAGUAGUGUCCACCAUCAGGGACUGAACAAGAAUGGUGUGCAUGGCAGGACAACAAGAUGGAAGCCAGGAACAUUUGCCAAAACCAUGUGAAUGAGCCAGAAGACUAUGAAAAGAAUGUUUUGUCGAAAUGAGUCUGAAAUAGAUCUGAAUGUUUUAAAGGGGUGGUUGAUUAUGCUUUCACUUUUUUAGCUUUAGUUAGUGUGUAAUGUUGCUGUUUGAGCAUAAACAACAUCUGCAAAGUUACGACGCUCAAAGUUCAAUGCAA